GCGAGAGUUGUCGAGCCCGGUCAAAGGCGCAGACUUAAGAUCUGGUAUCGAAGGAUUUCGUGGGUUCGAAUCGCACCUUUCACA
rnacentral:tRNA from 1 species